CCUACGGAGCUCAGGGCAUCGCCCCCUGAGGUACACCUGUGAGGCUGUGAGUUUCUCCGACACACCUGGCAAGGGGCCCACGAAGGCCAGAUUCUGUCAAGUGGAUUCUGGGGAAAAAGUGUGAAAACAAGUUCAAAUGAAAGAACUGUUUCCUACAUGAGACACUUUUCCUCCCGCCUCUCCUCUACAACCUGUAGCUUUAAGUGAAAUUAAUACUGGACAGACCAUCAAUCGUUAUCUGUGGGCACUAGGAAACAGAUCCAGCUCUGGGAGGCAGAUAUUAAUAUUUCCAUCUAGUAGACAAAGUCAUGAAACUUGAGGCAUGUUAGACAACUUGUUAGAGUCUACGAGCCUGACUCCAAAGCCAGUGCACCCUC